UGGGGAAUAUUGCACAAUGGGCGCAAGCCUGAUGCAGCCAUGCCGCGUGUGUGAAGAAGGCCUUCGGGUUGUAAAGCACUUUCAGCGGGGAGGAAGGCGUUAAGGUUAAUAACCUUGGCGAUUGACGUUACCCGCAGAAGAAGCACCGGCUAACUCCGUGCCAGCAGCCGCGGUAAUACGGAGGGUGCAAGCGUUAAUCGGAAUUACUGGGCGUAAAGCGCACGCAGGCGGUCUGUCAAGUCGGAUGUGAAAUCCCCGGGCUCAACCUGGGAACUGCAUUCGAAACUGGCAGGCUAGAGUCUUGUAGAGGGGGGUAGGAUUCCAGGUGUAGCGGUGAAAUGCGUAGAGAUCUGGAGGAAUACCGGUGGCGGAGGCGGCCCCCUGGACAAAGACUGACGCUCAGGUGCGAAAGCGUGGGGAGCAAACAGG
rnacentral:rRNA from 1 species